GACUCUCGGCAACGGAUAUCUCGGCUCACGCAUCGAUGAAGAACGUAGCAAAAUGCGAUACUUGGUGUGAAUUGCAGAAUCCCGUGAACCAUCGAGUUUUUGAACGCAAGUUGCGCCCGAAGCCUUUCGGCCGAGGGCACGUCUGCCUGGGUGUCACAC
rnacentral:rRNA from 1 species